GCGCAAGUGUUGUAAUUGGUAGCCAAGUUCGCUUGAACGGCUAUUGUCCAUUGGAUGUGCAGGUUCAAGUCCUGUCUCGCGCA
rnacentral:tRNA from 1 species